rnacentral:tRNA from 4 species
CGGGCUAUAGCGCAGUUGGUAGCGCGCAUCGUUCGGGACGAUGAGGCCGUGGGUUCAAGUCCCACUAGCCCGACAA